AGUGGAAUUGCUGGCUCAUAUGGUAAUUCUAUGCUUAGCUUUUUAAGGAACCUCCAAACUGUUUUCCAAAGUGGCUGUACCAUUUUAUAUUACCAUUAGCAAU
rnacentral:pre_miRNA from 1 species